AAAACGCGCGAGCGAGUCGCAUCCACAAUAACUCAGCAACCGAGUUCGACUCACCAAAUUGAGAUUCUACACCACUACUCUACACAGAGCUUCGAUCUUCCCAAUUCCAAUCCACCUUCAUCGUUUCCUUCAUCAACCACACUCCUUCUUCUUCCAUUGUUGCCACUUCUUCAAUUUCGGUGGAAAAAGGGGUUUUGUUUUCUGCGUAAUUUUCUUGGAUCUGGGUACUCUGCAUUCCCAUUCAAACUGGCUAUGGAUUACGAACCCUACGAUAGUAGCGGAACUGAUGAUGACCUUCCACCAACACAUCAAAAUAGAAUUCCCAGAGGGGCACGUCUUGCUGGGAAUGGAAGAUCUGCUAUAGGUUCAAUUUCAUACCCCAGGAUGUAUGGUGAAAUUGAUAUGGAAACUCAAAUUCACCAACUUGAGCAGGAAGCUUACAGUUCAGUUCUGCGAGCCUUUAAGGCUCAAGCUGAUGCCAUUACUUGGGACAAGGAAACUUUGCUUACAGACCUAAGAAAAGAAUUAAGAUUAUCAAAUGAAGAACACAGGGAACUUCUGGGCCGUGUUAAUGCUGAUGAUGUCAUACAUAGAAUAAGGGAGUGGAGACAGACAGGAGGCCAUCAGCCUGGUGUGCUGAGUACUGGACUGGCUAUUCAUGAUUCAAUUCCGAGUCCCACAGUCUCUGCAUCCCGUAAGAAGCCGAAGAUAACACCCUCUGUACCAUCACAAUCUUUUGGUGGGCCUUCUCCUCCAUUUCACUCGCAACCCUCUGCUGCAUCCCUCCAGCCAUCUUCUGUUGCAAAACGUGGAUCUGUCCCUGGAUCUAAGGGAAAGAAGCAAAAAGCUGGCCAAGUCUUGACAGGUGUAUCUUCAAAAAAACAAUAUCCUUUAUUAGGAUCAGGUGGAAGGAAUCAAGUGCCAGAUAGAGUUACUUCUGGUACUGUUAUGGCUGAGCUUGCCGAGGGAGUUGCAUCAUUUGAUUCAGUGAUCGGUAGGAGAGUACGAACAAGAUGGCCUGAUGACAAUAACUUCUAUGAAGCUGUUAUCUCUGACUACAGUCCAAUUGAUGGUCGACACAAUCUGGUCUAUGACAUGGGGAGGGCAAAUGAAACAUGGGAAUGGGUUAAUCUGUCCGAGAUCUCUCCUGAAGAUUUUCAGUGGGUAGGUGAGGAUCCCGGUAUCAAUAAUCAUGGGGGUUUUGGUGCAUCUGGUCGUGGGAUGAAUGGGUCUACAGGACGUGAUAGUGUUCCAGGAGCUGGAAGGGGUAGAGGAGCCACGAAGGGCCAAUCCAGAAAAAACUUUUUGCCAUCACAGAAUGGAAUAGGAAAGAAGGCCCCAGAUGAUAUACAAAUACUUCACACUGAGACACUGGUCAAAGAGGUGGAAAGGGUAUUCAGUGCAAAUCAUCCUGAUGCACUUGAAAUUGAGAAAGCCAAGAAAGUAUUGAAGGAUCAUGAGCAGUCUCUUAUUGAUGCACUUGAAAGAAUUGCAGAUCUUUCUGAUGGUGAAAGUGGUACUUCUCAAUAUUCAUACCAGAUUGCAGUACUAUCUGACAUUUCUUUCGUCUAAAAUAUUAGAAUAUUGUGGACGUUAUUUACGUGCUGAGUAUAGGAAUUUGCAUCGGUUCAGUUCUAGAUUUUUGUAUAUGCGAUUUGAAUUGAAUUACACGUUAUAGGAAUUUCGGUGUCUAUAAGGAAUUUUGUUCAGCACUAGAUUAGUUUGGUCGGUUUGUAAAGUUCACUUCUGAAAGCUAGCAUUUCACCAUAUGCCUGGUAAUCUGCAAAUUUGAGUGUAAAUAGGAGAGAAGUACAAUGUUUUGGGAUGAAAGGAUUUGAUCCACUGAUUAUUAUGUGUUGCAUGUGUGAAGUUGUUUCGAUUCCAUAUUUUUCACUUCCCUUUUUAAGCUAUUUAAUUUCAAACAAUCACAGCCUAAGUGUCUAGUGAUGCUAAUCACUCUAUUUUUAGAAGCAUGUCGUCAUCAAAGCAUGAAAUGAUAAAAAUACAUUUCCCGUAAUUACAAUAUGAGGCUGGUCACCAUCUAUCACAUGCUCAAUCAAUGGAUCGAGAAUGAUGGAACAGCAACUUUGUACAAUGGCAAAGGAGGCAUUAUGGCUGCUAACUCAUGGAGAAGAUUGAACUUGUAUUAUGUCACAACAAAAUUUCCCUGACAGAUGAUAGCUCUAGUCUUGGGUCAUGUGCAUUAGUCAUUUAAGUAGGAUGAAAAUUAUGUAGUUUCGUAUUAGUUAUUUAUUGAGAUUAAUAAUUGACUUAGGAUCAGGUGAUGCUAUUAUGUGUAUAAGUUCUUGUACUUUUUUGUGUCAAAUUAUGGGUCCGCUCUGCGCUCUUCUACUAAGAAAUCAGAAUAAUGGUAGCAACAGAUUUUUGUUUUUUUAA